rnacentral:rRNA from 1 species
CCUAACACAUGCAAGUCGAACGAAGCUUGACGGAUGAUUUCUUCGGAAUGAAACCAGAUAUGACUUAGUGGCGGACGGGUGAGUAACACGUGAGCAACCUGCCUUUCAGAGGGGGAUAACGGCUGGAAACGGUCGCUAAUACCGCAUGAUGUGUUCGGAUGGCAUCAUCUGAACAUCAAAGAUUUAUCGCUGAAAGAUGGGCUCGCGUCUGAUUAGAUAGUUGGUGGGGUAACGGCCUACCAAGUCUACGAUCAGUAGCCGGACUGAGAGGUUGAACGGCCACAUUGGGACUGAGAUACGGCCCAGACUCCUACGGGAGGCAGCAGUGGGGAAUAUUGCACAAUGGGGGAAACCCUGAUGCAGCAACGCCGCGUGAAGGAUGACGGUUUUCGGAUUGUAAACUUCUUUUCUUAGUGACGAAGACAGUGACGGUAGCUAAGGAAUAAGCAUCGGCUAACUACGUGCCAGCAGCCGCGGUAAUACGUAGGAUGCAAGCGUUAUCCGGAUUUACUGGGUGUAAAGGGAGCGCAGGCGGGACUGCAAGUUGGAUGUGAAAUACCGUGGCUUAACCACGGAACUGCAUCCAAAACUGUAGUUCUUGAGUGAAGUAGAGGCAAGCGGAAUUCCGAGUGUAGCGGUGAAAUGCGUAGAUAUUCGGAGGAACACCAGUGGCGAAGGCGGCUUGCUGGGCUUUAACUGACGCUGAGGCUCGAAAGUGUGGGGAGCAAACAGGAUUAGAUACCCUGGUAGUCCACACUGUAAACGAUGAUAGCUAGGUGUGGGGGGUCUGACCCCUUCCGUGCCGGAGUUAACGCAUAAGCUAUCCACCUGGGGAGUACGA